AUUGAACGCUGGCGGCAGGCUUAACACAUGCAAGUCGAGCGGGGUGAUGGUGCUUGCACUAUCACUUAGCGGCGGACGGGUGAGUAAUGCUUAGGAAUCUGCCUAUUAGUGGGGGACAACAUCUCGAAAGGGAUGCUAACACCGCAUACGUCCUACGGGAGAAAGCAGGGGAUCACUUGUGACCUUGCGCUAAUAGAUGAGCCUAAGUCGGAUUAGCUAGUUGGUGGGGUAAAGGCCUACCAAGGCGACGAUCUGUAGCGGGUCUGAGAGGAUGAUCCGCCACACUGGGACUGAGACACGGCACAGACUCCUACGGGAGGCAGCAGUGGGGAAUAUUGGACAAUGGGGGGAACCCUGAUCCAGCCAUGCCGCGUGUGUGAAGAAGGCCUUAUGGUUGUAAAGCACUUUAAGCGAGGAGGAGGCUCUUUUGGUUAAUACCCAAGAUGAGUGGACGUUACUCGCAGAAUAAGCACCGGCUAACUCUGUGCCAGCAGCCGCCGCAG
rnacentral:rRNA from 1 species